GUCAGUCUGACCAGUUAAACCAGUUUGGGUUCAUUUUAUCUUCUUAAAACUUUCAGUUUAAACUCAGUUGUGGUACCAGUCUGGUUCUACUGCGGUUCUGUUGGGUCUCAGUUUGUUGUUCAGAUUUUCUUCUUCAGCUGUUUGGAUCAUUUGAACAAACUGUGAAGCUAGAAAGUGUGUGUGAGCUGAUGUGGAUUCAGCAGCAUGGAUCAGUGUGAGGACAGAGAGGAGGGAGUCCCUCCCUCUAAAACCACUCUGUGUGGGGAAGAUGAGAGCCAGAGCAAAGGUCAGAGGAUCCAUCAGAGACUCAAACCAGAACCAGAACCAGAACCAGAACCAGAACCAGAACCCAGCUGUGUGUCCUUGAAGAGCAAUAGGUCAAUGGAUGACCUCAUUAACUUUAAAUCUCCUCGAUUCAUUCUACCACCAGAGUGGUGAGAUGUUUCUAUCUACUCUAACUGUUCUGUUCAUAUCUGUCAUUGUGACCAUGUGAUGAUACCAGGUUCUGUUGGGUUCUGUUGUCAUGGGAACGUUAGACUCAA